GACGAACGCUGGCGGCGUGCUUAACACAUGCAAGUCGAACGGAAAGGCCCUGCUUUUGUGGGGUGCUCGAGUGGCGAACGGGUGAGUAACACGUGAGUAACCUGCCCUUGACUUUGGGAUAACUUCAGGAAACUGGGGCUAAUACCGGAUAGGAGCUCCUGCUGCAUGGUGGGGGUUGGAAAGUUUCGGCGGUUGGGGAUGGACUCGCGGCUUAUCAGCUUGUUGGUGGGGUAGUGGCUUACCAAGGCUUUGACGGGUAGCCGGCCUGAGAGGGUGACCGGCCACAUUGGGACUGAGAUAUGGCCCAGACUCCUACGGGAGGCAGCAGUGGGGAAUAUUGCACAAUGGGCGGAAGCCUGAUGCAGCAGCGCCGCGUGCGGGAUGACGGCCUUCGGGUUGUAAACCGCUUUCGCCUGUGACGAAGCGUGAGUGACGGUAAUGGGUAAAGAAGCACCGGCUAACUACGUG
rnacentral:rRNA from 1 species